GACGAACGCUGGCGGCGUGCUUAACACAUGCAAGUCGAACGGAAAGACUCUGCUUUUGUGGGGUGCUCGAGUGGCGAACGGGUGAGUAACACGUGAGUAACCUGCCCUUGACUUUGGGAUAACUUCAGGAAACUGGGGCUAAUACCGGAUAGGAGCUCCUGCUGCAUGGUGGGGGUUGGAAAGUUUCGGCGGUUGGGGAUGGACUCGCGGCUUAUCAGCUUGUUGGUGGGGUAGUGGCUUACCAAGGCUUUGACGGGUAGCCGGCCUGAGAGGGUGACCGGCCACAUUGGGACUGAGAUACGGCCCAGACUCCUACGGGAGGCAGCAGUGGGGAAUAUUGCACAAUGGGCGGAAGCCUGAUGCAGCAACGCCGCGUGCGGGAUGACGGCCUUCGGGUUGUAAACCGCUUUCGCCUGUGACGAAGCGUGAGUGACGGGAAUGGGUAAAGAAGCACCGGCUAACUACGU
rnacentral:rRNA from 1 species